AGAAACUUAGGAUCAACCUUCAAAACCAGGAGCCUUCAAAGCUCCAAAUAAGAGAUAAAACCUCUUAGUUUCUG
rnacentral:tRNA from 1 species